rnacentral:rRNA from 1 species
UAGACGCUGAGAGAGGAGCUUGCUCUUCUUGGAUGAGUUGCGAACGGGUGAGUAACGCGUAGGUAACCUGCCUUGUAGCGGGGGAUAACUAUUGGAAACGAUAGCUAAUACCGCAUAACAAUGGAUGACACAUGUCAUUUAUUUGAAAGGGGCAAUUGCUCCACUACAAGAUGGACCUGCGUUGUAUUAGCUAGUAGGUGAGGUAACGGCUCACCUAGGCGACGAUACAUAGCCGACCUGAGAGGGUGAUCGGCCACACUGGGACUGAGACACGGCCCAGACUCCUACGGGAGGCAGCAGUAGGGAAUCUUCGGCAAUGGGGGCAACCCUGACCGAGCAACGCCGCGUGAGUGAAGAAGGUUUUCGGAUCGUAAAGCUCUGUUGUAAGUCAAGAACGAGUGUGAGAGUGRAAAGUUCACACUGUGACGGUAGCUUACCAGAAAGGGACGGCUAACUACGUGCCAGCAGCCGCGGUAAUACGUAGGUCCCGAGCGUUGUCCGGAUUUAUUGGGCGUAAAGCGAGCGCAGGCGGUUUGAUAAGUCUGAAGUUAAAGGCUGUGGCUCAACCAUAGUUCGCUUUGGAAACUGUCAAACUUGAGUGCAGAAGGGGAGAGUGGAAUUCCAUGUGUAGCGGUGAAAUGCGUAGAUAUAUGGAGGAACACCGGUGGCGAAAGCGGCUCUCUGGUCUGUAACUGACGCUG